rnacentral:rRNA from 1 species
UACGUAGGGUGCGAGCGUUGCCCGGAUUUAUUGGGCGUAAAGGGCGCGCAGGCGGCUCCGUGCGUCACCUGUGAAAGCGCCUGGCUCAACUGGGCAGGGACGGGUGAAACGGCGGGGCUAGAGCGAAGGUAGGGGGCCAGUGAAUUCCCGGGUGUAGUGGUGGAAUGCGUAGAGAUCGGGAGGAACACCCGUGGCGAAGGCGGUGGCCUGGACCUGUGCUGACGCUGAGGCGCGAAAGCGUGGGGAGCGAUCCGG